rnacentral:misc_RNA from 1 species
AGCCGCAGAUAUCUUCCUGUUCACUCCACCCGCCAUUUCCGGAUAUUGGGAAAGAGAAAGAAAUACAGAGUCUAAUUAUAAUUUUCUUCCCAGGAAAGAGAUCCGGUUGCGUCGACCGUACAGCAGAAGAAAAAGACAACUCCUGCCUAAAAUGAACCCUCCAGUGACAAAGCUUGAGCCUGCAAUUUCUUGUCUUGGGUUGGUG